CAAUAGCGUAUAUUAAAGUUGUUGCAGUUAAAAAGCUCGUAGUUGAAUUUCUGUACAGUCCCAAUUUUGGCUUCGGUCAGGUUGUGGAUUGUGCAUCCGCUUGCAAAUCUAGUUCGGCAUUCACUUGUUGGCUAGGGGAGUAAGCUUUUUACUUUGAAAAAAUUAGAGUGUUUCAAGCAGGCAAUGGCUCGAAUACAUUAGCAUGGAAUAAUGGAAUAGGACUUUUGUCCAUUUGAUUGGUUAUUGGACUUAGGUAAUGAUUAAAAGGGACAGUUGGGGGCAUUAGUAUUUAAUUGUCAGAGGUGAAAUUCUUGGAUUUAUUAAAGACUAACUUAUGCGAAAGCAUUUGCCAAGGAUGUUUUCAUUA
rnacentral:rRNA from 1 species